UUUAUUUAAUUCAUGAGACAAAUUUGCUAAACACGUGCUUUAUUGAAUUCUACGGUAUGUGUUGUUGUUAGUGCGGUGUUUUAUUUCUUCGCGGGCCAGACGAACUUUGUCUCGCCCCUAAUUGUUCUUUUAUAUAGUUCUAGAGUACUAUUCUAUUUCAUUCAAUUUUGUGCCUUUGGAAAUCAAAUUGGAUAUUUUAUUUACUUAUUCCAUCAAAUAAAAUGCCACGACCAAGACGUACUAAUAUUAGUCGCCGUACACGUAAUGCUUAUACUUUAAGGUCGAAUAGAACAUUGCAAAGUGAGGAAGAGCGUGCACAGAUUAAUGCGGAAAGAAGAGAUCGAUAUGCACGAAAUCGAAACUCACCUAAUCGAUCUCUUGAUAGGCAGCCACCCCGAAAUCGGCCAAUGCUGCUUUUAAUUACGAUAGUGCGAUUGAUUACAGUGCAUAUGGCUGUAUUGGUGAAUUGACGGUGAGAUGUGCACAUUGUGGUGCAGCCAACUUUCCAAAUGAAACAGAUGACAUGUGCUGUGCUAACGGCAAAGUGAAAUUGCCAACAUUUGAAUCUCCACCCGAUCCACUACGUUCGCUGAUUUUUGGAAUGGUAUUAACGUUGACACAUUUUUUGUCUCAUAUUCAAGAAUACAAUGCAUAAUUUCAAAUGACUUCUUUUGGUGCGACAAAAAUUGUAAGAGACAAUUUUAUGCCGACGUUCAAGGUGAUUAGUUCUUCUGUCUCAUUAUUACCAUAUCCUGAUACCGACCAUCAAUUCUUACAAAUCUAUUUCGUUGGAAAUGAAAAUCGCGAAUUGGAUCGGCGAUGUACAAUUGCUUCGAGGGCAAGGCGACAAAUUGUUUCUGAGCUUCAAACAUUUUUUCAUCAACACAAUGAAUUAGUUCGAUUAUUCAAAAUCGCUCUCGAUCGUAUGCCAUCGGAUAACCACAAAAUCAUCAUAAAAGCCCAUAGAACACCGAUCGGAGAGCAUGCAAGACGAUUUAAUGCACCGACAAUCGAUGAUGUGGCUAUUGUAAUUGUUGGGGACCAGUUUCAAUCUCGCGACAUCGUGCUACAUCGAAGAAAUGAGCAAUUACAGCGCAGCUAUGAUGGAUUACAAUAUCCAUUAUUGUACUGGAAAGGUGAUGACGCCUAUAAUAUCCUUAUACCAAUGAUAGAUCCACAAACCGGUAGAGUAUAAUAUAAAUUUAAUAUGCGUUCACUUUAACACAAGAAAAUAUUUUAAUUUUUUGAUAAUGCAUUCAUUAUAUUCAUUACAUUCAAAAAAAGUUAGUGCGAUGAACUAUUAUUCGUACAGAUUCAUGAUUCGCCCACAAGAAGACAAUUUCAUUUUGAGAUGUGGCAAACUUUUCAAUCAAUAAGCUGUUGACAUGUACGCAAAAAUAGAAACAGAACGUCUGAAUUACCUUCGAUUCAAUCAAACAAAAUUACGAUCGGAAGAAUAUAUACAUUUGCGAGAUGCAAUAGUGAAUGAUGGUAAUGCAAAUGAUAUCGGAUGUUUAACAAUAUUACCAUCCACAUAUGUCGGCAGUCCGCGUCACAUGCAUGAAUACACGCAAGAUGCAAUGUCAUACGUUCGCAAAUAUGGUCGACCAGACUUAUUUAUAACAUUUACAUGCAAUCCACAAUGGGCGGACAUAAAUGAUAAUUUAUUUGUUGGUCAAAAACCAAUUGAUCUGCACGAUAUAACUACGCGUGUAUUUCGACAGAAAUUAAAGGCAUUGAUAGAUUUGAUUGUCAAAUUUAAAAUAUUUGGAGACGUGUGUUGCUGGAUGUAUUCGAUUGAAUGGCAGAAAAGAGGGCUACCGCACGCACACAUAUUGAUAUGGUUGAUUCAAAAAGUUACACCAAAUGAGAUUGAUCGCAUUAUAUCAGCCGAAAUUCCAGAUCAAAACAGCGAUACACAAUUAUUUGAAGUGGUUACGAAAAACAUGAUUCACGGACCAUGCGGUGAACUAAAUUUAAAUUUGACAUGCUUGAUCGAUGGAAAAUGCUCAAAGCGGUAUCCAAGAGCAUUGAAACAAUAACAGGCAAUGACGGAUACCCAUCGUAUCGACGUCGGUCACCAGACGAUUUUGGCCAUACAACAACAAUUAGAGUUCAUAAUCAAGACACUAUCAUUGAUAAUCGUUGGGUAGUGCCAUAUUUACCGCUAUUAUCAAAAAUAUUUGAAGCUCACAUUAACGUUGAAUAUUGUAAUUCAGUGAAGUCAAUAAAAUAUGCAAAUAUGUCAACAAGGGAAGCGACAUGGCUGUUUUUGGAGUAACUGGUGACAAUAGAUAUGAUGAAAUUUCACAAUAUCAAAUGGGACGUUACAUUAGCACUAAUGAAGCUCUUUGGAGAAUUUAUUCAUUUCCAAUGCAUGAGCGAUAUCCUGCUGUGGUUCAUUUGGCUGUUCAUUUGGAAAAUGGACAACGUGUUUAUUUUACUAAUUUAAAUGUGGAGCAGAGAGCGGCACAGCCACCAGCAACAACAUUAGCUGCAUUCUUCCAAUUGUGUGAAAGUGAUGAAUUUGCAGGAACAUUGCUGUAUUCGGACGUACCACACUAUUUCAUUUGGACUGCAAAAAAAUGGCAACGACGUAAAAGAAAAGCCCCAGCUGAUGGUCAUCCAGGCGUUUUAUAUGAAGAUACACAGUUCAUGCUUUUAUUUGCGACUGUUGUUGGUAAACGUUGUAGGACCCCGCUCAUUUCAACAUUUGCGAACAUUUAAUGGUCAUUUAUGUCAGACAUAUCGCGAAGCAUGUGAACACUUACAUUUGUUGGAAAAUGAUGCACAUUGGGAUUUGACACUUAACGAUGCAUCGAUUUCUUCUUAUCCACAUCAAAUACGUAUGAUAUAUGCCAUAAUAUUAUCGACAUGCUUUCCAUCGAAUCCACUUGAUUUGUUUAAUAAAUAUAAAGGUUUAAUGGCCGAAGACUUUUUAAAUCGAAUGCGUCAUCACACCAGAAAUGUAUAACGAGGCAUUUAUAUCGAUUGAAGAUAUGUGCCUUGCGAUGGCAAAUAAAGCAUUAGGUCAAUUAGGUAUGCCUUCACCGAAUCGUCCAAUGCAUGAUUUGUUUGAUUGAGAAUUGCAACGUGAACAACAGUACAAUAUCAAUGAAUUGCAAACAUUUGUGAAUUGGAAUUUAACCAAAUUGAACGACCAACAAAAACAUUUUUACGAUACCAUUAUGCAAGCAGUACAAAAUGAUGUUGGUGGAUUGUAUUUUUUGGAUGCGCCUGAAGGUACGGGUAUAAUAUUUUUCUGGUAUCAUUGAUUUUGGCAGCCAUUCGGUCACAACAAAAAAUUGCAUUGGCACUUGUUUCGUCAGGAAUUGCUGCUACUUUAUUGGAUGGUGGACGAACAGCACACUCAGCAUUAAAAUUGCCGUUAAAUGUACAGGUGAUUGACAAUCCCACAUGCAACAUAUCAAGAAAUUCUGGAAUGGCAAAAGUUUUGCAGCAAGCAGCAAUUAUUCUAUUGGAUGAAUGUACAAUGACCCAUAAAAAAUCUCUGGAAGCAUUAAACAGAACAAUGCAAGAUCUACGUCGCAAUCAAAUAAAUUGUUGUCAGGAGAUUUCCGACAAACAUUGCCCGUCAUUCCAUAUGCAACGUUAGCGGAUCACGUCAAUGCGUGCUUGAAGUAUUCUUUCCUGUGGCGAUAUGUCCAAAAAUUGACAUUGAACAUAAACAUGCGUGUUCAAUUGCACAAUGAUCAAUCUGUAGAACGGUUUUCGAAGCAAUUAUUAGAAAUCGGAAGUGGCAAAGUUCCAAAUACAAAUGGCUUGAUCACUUUGCCAAACAAUUUUUGUUCAAUUCUACAAUCUAAAUGCGAAUUAAUAGAAAGCGUUUUUCGAAAUAUAAUUCAAAAUCACGAUUGGUUGACAGAACGAGCAAUAUUGUCACCAAAAAAGGUACAUGUCAAUGAAAUCAAUUUUCACAUUCAAAAAAAUUGCCAGGCGCACUGACAUCUUAUAAAUCUUUUGAUAGCGCAAUGAAAGAAGAUGAUGCAGUGAUUUAUCCAGUAGAACCGCCUGGUAUGCCACCGCAUUUUUCGAACUUAAAAAUCGGCUAAUCAAUUAUUUUACUACGGAAUUUAAAUGCACCAAAAUUGUGCAAUGGCACAAGAUUGGUUGUAAAAAAAUUGAUGCCGAAUUUAAUUGAAGCCACGAUAUUGACUGGAAAAGCGAAAGGAGAAAUGGUGCUCAUACCGCGUAUUCCGUUGAUACCAACAGACAUGCCGUUUAAACAUAAGCGACUGCAAUUCCCAGUGCGUCUAUCAUUUGCCAUGUCCAUCAAUAAGGCACAAGGACAAACGCUUCAAGUAUGCGUGUUGAAUUUGGAAGAGCCGUGUUUUUUCUCUUGGGCAGCUAUACGUAGCCUGUUCAAGAGUUGGCAUUUCAAACUCUUUAUUUGUAUUCGCUCCAAAUGGACAAACGAUAAAUAUAGUUUAUCCAAAUGUUUUGGAUUGAAAAUAACAAUUUAUAAAUAAU